rnacentral:rRNA from 1 species
GAUGAACGCUGGCGGCGUGCCUAAUACAUGCAAGUCGAGCGGACGGACGAGAAGCUUGCCGCUCUGACGUUAGCCGCGGACGGGUGAGUAACACGUGUAUAACCCACCUAUAUGACUGGGAUAACUUCGAGAAACCGGAUCUAAUACCGUAUAAUAUCUUGAACCGCAUGGUUCAAUAGUGAAAUACGGUGUUUCUGUCACUUAUAGAUGGAUCCGCGCUGCAUUAGCUAGUUGGUAAGUUAACGGGUUAGCAAGGCAACGAUGCGUAGCCGAACUGAGAGGGGGAUAGGCCACCCUGGAAGUGAGACAGGGUCAAGGGGACUAAGGGAGGGAGCAGUAGGGAAUGUGACGCAGUGGGGGAAAGCAUGACGGAGCAACGCCGAGUGAGAGAUGAAGGCCCCGGGAGCGUAAAACUCUGUUAUUAGGGAAGAACCUCUGUGUAAGUAAAUGUGCACUUCGUGACGGUACCUAAUCAGAAAGCAACGGCUAACUACGUG